rnacentral:rRNA from 1 species
GACGAACGCUGGCGGCGUGCUUAACACAUGCAAGUCGAACGGAAAGGCCCUGCUUUUGUGGGGUGCUCGAGUGGCGAACGGGUGAGUAACACGUGAGUAACCUGCCCUUGACUUUGGGAUAACUUCAGGAAACUGGGGCUAAUACCGGAUAGGAGCUCCUGCUGCAUGGUGGGGGUUGGAAAGUUUCGGCGGUUGGGGAUGGACUCGCGGCUUAUCAGCUUGUUGGUGGGGUAGUGGCUUACCAAGGCUUUGACGGGUAGCCGGCCUGAGAGGGUGACCGGCCACAUUGGGACUGAGAUACGGCCCAGACUCCUACGGGAGGCAGCAGUGGGGAAUAUUGCACAAUGGGCGGAAGCCUGAUGCAGCAACGCCGCGUGCGGGAUGACGGCCUUCGGGUUGUAAACCGCUUUCGCCUGUGACGAAGCGUGAGUGACGGUAAUGGGUAAAGAAGCACCGGCUAACUACGUGCCAGCAGCCGCGGUGAUACGUAGGGUGCGAGCGUUGUCCGGAUUUAUUGGCGUAAAGGGGCUCGUAGGUGGUUGAUCGCGUCGGAAGUGUAAUCUUGGGGCUUAACCCUGAGCGUGCUUUCGAUACGGGUUGACUUGAGGAAGGUAGGGGAGAAUGGAAUUCCUGGUGGAGCGGUGGAAUGCGCAGAUAUCAGGAGGAACACCAGUGGCGAAGGCGGUUCUCUGGGCCUUUCCUGACGCUGAGGAGCGAAAGCGUGGGGAGCGAACAGGCUUAGAUACCCUGGUAGUCCACGCUGUAAACGGUGGGUACUAGGUGUGGGGUCCAUUCCACGGGUUCCGUGCCGUAGCUAACGCUUUAAGUACCCCGCCUGGGGAGUACGGCCGCAAGGCUAAAACUCAAAGGAAUUGACGGGGCCCCGCACAAGCGGCGGAGCAUGCGGAUUAAUUCGAUGCAACGCGUAGAACCUUACCUGGGUUUGACAUGGAUCGGGAGCGCUCAGAGAUGGGUGUGCCUCUUUUGGGGUCGGUUCACAGGUGGUGCAUGGCUGUCGUCAGCUCGUGUCGUGAGAUGUUGGGUUAAGUCCCGCAACGAGCGCAACCCUUGUUCACUGUUGCCAGCACGUUAUGGUGGGGACUCAGUGGAGACCGCCGGGGUCAACUCGGAGGAAGGUGGGGAUGACGUCAAGUCAUCAUGCCCCUUAUGUCCAGGGCCUCACGCAUGCUACAAUGGCUGGUACAGAGAGUGGCGAGCCUGUGAGGGUGAGCGAAUCUCGGAAAGCCGGUCUCAGUUCGGAUUGGGGUCUGCAACUCGACCUCAUGAAGUCGGAGUCGCUAGUAAUCGCAGAUCAGCAACGCUGCGGUGAAUACGUUCCCGGG